GUCGAGCGAAGCGCGCCCCGGAAUCCUUCGGGAGGAAGGGUCGCGACUGAGCGGCGGACGGGUGAGUAACGCGUGGGCAACCUGCCCCAUACAGGGGGACAACGGCCGGAAACGGCCGCUAAUACCGCAUGAUUCCUCUUGGCCGCAUGGCCGGGAGGGGAAAGCCGAGACGGUAUGGGAUGGACCCGCGUCUGAUUAGCUGGUUGGCGAGGUAACGGCUCACCAAGGCGACGAUCAGUAGCCGGCCUGAGAGGGCGACCGGCCACAUUGGGACUGAGACACGGCCCAAACUCCUACGGGAGGCAGCAGUGGGGAAUAUUGCACAAUGGGGGAAACCCUGAUGCAGCGACGCCGCGUGAAGGACGAAGUAUUUCGGUACGUAAACUUCUAUCAGCAGGGAAGAAAAUGACGGUACCUGACCAAGAAGCCCCGGCUAACUACGUGCCAGCAGCCGCGGUAAUACGUAGGGGGCAAGCGUUAUCCGGAUUUACUGGGUGUAAAGGGAGCGUAGACGGCCAUGCAAGUCUGAUGUGAAAACCCGGGGCUCAACCCCGGGACUGCAUUGGAAACUGUGCGGCUGGAGUGUCGGAGAGGCAAGUGGAAUUCCUAGUGUAGCGGUGAAAUGCGUAGAUAUUAGGAGGAACACCAGUGGCGAAGGCGGCUUGCUGGACGACGACUGACGUUGAGGCUCGAAAGCGUGGGGAGCAAACAGGAUUAGAUACCCUGGUAGUCCACGCCGUAAACGA
rnacentral:rRNA from 1 species